UAACGGCGAAGUGAAGCGGCAACAGCUCAAAUUUGAAAUCUGGCCCCAGGCCCGAGUUGUAAUUUGCAGAGGAUGCUUUUGGCGCGGUGCCUUCCGAGUUCCCUGGAACGGGACGCCAUAGAGGGUGAGAGCCCCGUACGGUUGGACACCAAGCCUUUGUAAAGCUCCUUCGACGAGUCGAGUAGUUUGGGAAUGCUGCUCAAAAUGGGAGGUAUAUUUCUUCUAAAGCUAAAUAUUGGCCAGAGACCGAUAGCGCACAAGUAGAGUGAUCGAAAGAUGAAAAGCACUUUGAAAAGAGGGUUAAACAGCACGUGAAAUUGUUAAAAGGGAAGCGCUUAUGACCAGACUUGCGCCCGGUGAAUCACCCAGCUCUCGCGGCUGGGGCACUUUGCCGGCUCAGGCCAGCAUCAGCUCGCUGUCGGGGACAAAAGCUUCGGGAACGUAGCUCUCUUCGGGGAGUGUUAUAGCCCGUUGCACAAUACCCUUCGGCGGGCUGAGGUACGCGCUCCGCAUGGAUGCUGGCGUAAUGGUCAUCAGCGACCCGUCUUGAAACACGGACCAAGGAGUCAACCUUAUGUGCGAGUGUUUGGGUGUUAAACCCCUACGCGUAAUGAAAGUGAACGCAGGUGAGAGCUUCGGCGCAUCAUCGACCGAUCCUGAUGUUCUCGGAUGGAUUUGAGUAAGAGCAUAUAGGGUUGGACCCGAAAGAAAGGUGAACUAUGCGUGUAUAGGGUGAAGCCAGAGGAAACUCUGGUGGAGGCUCGCAGCGGUUCUGACGUGCAAAUCGAUCGUCAAAUAUGCGCAUGGGGGGCGAAAGACUAAUCGAACCUUCUAGUAGCUGGUU
rnacentral:rRNA from 1 species